CGUUCUAUGGCCGAAUUGGUAAAGAUAUCGCCGAUCACAGGCGAGGUUGUGGGUUCGAGUCCCGCUGGAACGA
rnacentral:tRNA from 1 species